GUGUUGUGGUUCACGCUUGCGCAAAUAGAAGAAGAAAGAAAAUGUUCACGUGCUGCACAAAUGGAACUAAAUGGGAAAGCAAUGUAGAAUUGAUUAUUGCUGGCUUGGGAGUAGUUAUAAGAAACUCCAGGGGAAGGGUUGUGGCAGUAGCAGUUCAAAAUGUUCCAUUUCGAAGCACUGUAGCUAGUAUGGAAGCUGAAGCUGUUUUGUUUGGAAUUGAAACUGCUCAACAGGUGGAUUAUUGCAGAAAGGAAAGCAAGACAGAAAUAGAAUGGAUUAUUGCAGAAAUCCAGACAAAGCUUAGGAUCCAGAGCCAAGCAUCAAUCCAAUUUGCUCCAAGGGGCUGUAAUUUAGCUGCUCAUCAUAUAGCAAAGAAAGUUUUAGACGUUGAAAAUCAGUGUAUUUGGCUGGAAAAUUUCCCAGUUCAUGUUUCAUUGUUACUGUCAAAGUUCUGUUAAUGGAAAGCUUUACUUCCUUAUCAAAAAAAAAAAAAAGGGAAAGUAAUCAAAGCAAAAAAGUAAAAAAGCAAAGAAUCAAUCAACGCCAAAGAAAAACAGUCAAAGCACAAAAGAAAUCAAAGAAAAACGCACCGUUUUGAUAAUUUUCGGGGCGCAGUUUC
rnacentral:lncRNA from 1 species